rnacentral:rRNA from 1 species
AUUGAACGCUGGCGGCAUGCUUUACACAUGCAAGUCGAACGGCAGCGCGGGCUUCGGCCUGGCGGCGAGUGGCGAACGGGUGAGUAAUGCAUCGGAACGUGCCCAGUAGUGGGGGAUAGCCCGGCGAAAGCCGGAUUAAUACCGCAUACGACCUGAGGGUGAAAGCGGGGGACCGAAAGGCCUCGCGCUAUUGGAGCGGCCGAUGUCGGAUUAGCUAGUUGGUGGGGUAAAGGCUUACCAAGGCGACGAUCCGUAGCUGGUCUGAGAGGACGACCAGCCACACGGGGAGUGAGACACGGCCCAGACUCCUACGGGGGGCAGAAGGGGGGAAUUUUGGACAAUGGGGGAAACCCUGACCCAGCCAGGCCGGGUGGGGGAAGAAGGCCUUCGGGUUGUAAACCGCUUUUGUUCGGGAAGAAAUCCUCUGGGCUAAUACCCCGGGGGGAUGACGGUACCGGAAGAAUAAGCACCGGCUAACUACGU